ensembl:snoRNA small nucleolar RNA SNORD88
AUUUUCUUAUGAUGUCUUUGCACUGGGCUCUGAAACUCUGUGGAUAGCGUGCCUCUCUGGACUUGACAAUCCAGAGACUGAGGAUAAC